rnacentral:rRNA from 1 species
GGGAUUGCCUUAGUAACGGCGAGUGAAGCGGCAACAGCUCAAAUUUGAAAUCUGGCCCCUCCGGGGUCCGAGUUGUAAUUUGUAGAGAGUGCUUCGGGCGAGGCCUCGGUCUAAGUCCAUUGGAACAUGGUGUCAUAGAGGGUGAGAAUCCCGUAUGCGACCGUGGCUCGAGCCCAUGUGAAGCCUCUUCGACGAGUCGAGUUGUUUGGGAAUGCAGCUCAAAAUGGGUGGUAAAUUUCAUCUAAAGCUAAAUACCGGCUGGAGACCGAUAGCGCACAAGUAGAGUGAUCGAAAGAUGAAAAGCACUUUGGAAAGAGAGUCAAACAGUACGUGAAAUUGUUGAAAGGGAAGCGCUUGCAACCAGACCUGCCCGUAGGCGAUCAGCCGCUGUUCUCAGCGGUGUACUCGCUCUGCGAUCAGGCCAGCAUCGGUUCCGGCGGUCGGAUAAAGGCCUUGGAAAUGUAGCUUCUCUUCGGGGGAGUCUUAUAGCCCUCGGUGUAAUGCGGCCAGCCGGGACCGAGGACCGCGCUUCGGCUAGGAUGCUGGCGUAAUGGUUGUAAGCGACCCGUCUUGAAACACGGACCAAGGAGUCUAACAUCUAUGCGAGUGUUUGGGUGUCAAACCCAUGCGCGGAAUGAAAGUGAAUGGAGGUGAGAACCCUUAAGGGCGCAUCAUCGACCGAUCCAGAUGUCUUCGGAUGGAUUUGAGUAUGAGCAUAGCUGUUGGGACCCGAAAGAUGGUGAACUAUGCCUGAAUAGGGUGAAGCCAGAGGAAACUCUGGUGGAGGCUCGCAGCGGUUCUGACGUGCAAAUCGAUCGUCAAAUUUGGGUAUAGGGGCGAAAGACUAAUCG